rnacentral:SRP_RNA from 1 species
GCCCCAGGUCCGAAGGGCGAAUGCGCGCGAACCGCGUCAGGACCGUGAAGGUAGCAGCGCUAAGCGAUUGCACGCGUCGCUUCGGGUCACCUGGGGCAAU